rnacentral:rRNA from 1 species
CAAGUCGAGCGGUAGCACAGAGAGCUUGCUCUCGGGUGACGAGCGGCGGACGGGUGAGUAAUGUCUGGGAAACUGCCUGAUGGAGGGGGAUAACUACUGGAAACGGUAGCUAAUACCGCAUAACGUCGCAAGACCAAAGUGGGGGACCUUCGGGCCUCAUGCCAUCAGAUGUGCCCAGAUGGGAUUAGCUAGUAGGUGGGGUAACGGCUCACCUAGGCGACGAUCCCUAGCUGGUCUGAGAGGAUGACCAGCCACACUGGAACUGAGACACGGUCCAGACUCCUACGGGAGGCAGCAGUGGGGAAUAUUGCACAAUGGGCGCAAGCCUGAUGCAGCCAUGCCGCGUGUGUGAAGAAGGCCUUCGGGUUGUAAAGCACUUUCAGCGGGGAGGAAGGCGAUAAGGUUAAUAACCUUGUCGAUUGACGUUACCCGCAGAAGAAGCACCGGCUAACUCCGUGCCAGCAGCCGCGGUAAUACGGAGGGUGCAAGCGUUAAUCGGAAUUACUGGGCGUAAAGCGCACGCAGGCGGUCUGUCAAGUCGGAUGUGAAAUCCCCGGGCUCAACCUGGGAACUGCAUUCGAAACUGGCAGGCUAGAGUCUUGUAGAGGGGGGUAGAAUUCCAGGUGUAGCGGUGAAAUGCGUAGAGAUCUGGAGGAAUACCGGUGGCGAAGGCGGCCCCCUGGACAAAGACUGACGCUCAGGUGCGAAAGCGUGGGGAGCAAACAGGAUUAGAUACCCUGGUAGUCCACGCCGUAAACGAUGUCGAUUUGGAGGUUGUGCCCUUGAGGCGUGGCUUCCGGAGCUAACGCGUUAAAUCGACCGCCUGGGGAGUACGGCCGCAAGGUUAAAACUCAAAUGAAUUGACGGGGGCCCGCACAAGCGGUGGAGCAUGUGGUUUAAUUCGAUGCAACGCGAAGAACCUUACCUGGUCUUGACAUCCACAGAACUUAGCAGAGAUGGCUUGGUGCCUUCGGGAACUGUGAGACAGGUGCUGCAUGGCUGUCGUCAGCUCGUGUUGUGAAAUGUUGGGUUAAGUCCCGCAACGAGCGCAACCCUUAUCCUUUGUUGCCAGCGGUUAGGCCGGGAACUCAAAGGAGACUGCCAGUGAUAAACUGGAGGAAGGUGGGGAUGACGUCAAGUCAUCAUGGCCCUUACGACCAGGGCUACACACGUGCUACAAUGGCAUAUACAAAGAGAAGCGACCUCGCGAGAGCAAGCGGACCUCAUAAAGUAUGUCGUAGUCCGGAUUGGAGUCUGCAACUCGACUCCAUGAAGUCGGAAUCGCUAGUAAUCGUAGAUCAGAAUGCUACGGUGAAUACGUUCCCGGGCCUUGUACACACCGCCCGUCACACCAUGGGAGUGGGUUGCAAAAGAAGUAGGUAGCUUAACCUUCGGGA